AUUUUUAUAGACGAAAAUUCUUCCAACUCAGAAAUUGCGGAACAAAGGGUGGUUGAGAUCGACCAACAUUAUAAAACUUCAAGUUCUACUGAAAGUUAUAUGGUAUCACUUUCAAAUUAUUUCAUUGUUUCGAGUGACAUUGAAUCAAUUAUGUCAAAUUUAAGUAAGUUAA